rnacentral:rRNA from 1 species
UAGGGAAUCUUCGGCAAUGGACGAAAGUCUGACCGAGCAACGCCGUGUGAGUGAAGAGGGUUUUCGGAUCGUAAAACUCUGUUGGUAGAGAAGAACGUUGGUGAGAGUGGAAAGCUCAUCAAGUGACGGUAACUACCCAGAAAGGGACGGCUAACUACGUGCCAA